UACAGGGGGGGGCAAGCGUUUGUUCGGAAUUACUGGGCGUAAAGGGUUCGUAGGUGGCCACUUAAGUCAGACGUGAAAUCCCUCAGCUUAACUGGGGAACUGCGUCUGAUACUGAGUGGCUUGAGUGCAGGAGAGGAAUGCGGAAUUCCAGGUGUAGCGGUGAAAUGCGUAGAUAUCUGGAGGAACACCGGUGGCGAAGGCGGCAUUCUGGACUGUAACUGACACUGAGGAACGAAAGCCAGGGGAGCAAACGGGG
rnacentral:rRNA from 1 species